rfam:Brassica rapa chromosome A4, whole genome shotgun sequence.
UUUAACUUAAACAAUCUGCUGAAUAAAUAACUUUCAAGUAAAAUCAAGAAAUAGAAGAUUAGCAUGGCCGUUGCGCAAGGAUUACACGCACAAAUUCGAGAAAUGGUCCAAUUUUUU